rfam:Rhodobacteraceae bacterium O3.65 TRIHO_contig000134, whole genome shotgun sequence.
UGGUCCGCAGUUCACCAAGGCUCCGCCAUUUGCUAAACCUGCGA